AAUUAACGCUGGCAGAGUGCAUAACACAUGCAAGUCGAGCGGAUUCAUCUGAGAUUACAUCAAGGGUGAAUUAGCGGCAGACGAGUGAGUAACACGUGGACAAUCUGCCCCUCAAUGGUGAAUAACCAGCCGAAAGGUUGGCUAAUGCGCCGUACUUUCCUCUGAAGGCAUCUUCGGAGGAAGAAAGACCCGCAAGGGUUCGUUGAAGGAGGAGCCGCGGCCCAUCAGCUAGUUGGCGGUGUAAUAGACCACCAAGGCUACGACGGGUACCCGGCCUGAAAGGGCGGACGGGCACGAUGGCACUGAGACACGGGCCAUACUCCUACGGGAGGCAGCAGUGGGAAUUUUGGACAAUGGGCGAAAGCCUGAUCCAGCAACUCUGCGUGGAGGGACGAAGGUCUUCGGA
rnacentral:rRNA from 1 species